rnacentral:rRNA from 1 species
UACGAAGGGGGCUAGCGUUGUUCGGAAUUACUGGGCGUAAAGCGCACGUAGGCGGACAUUUAAGUCAGGGGUGAAAUCCCGGGGCUCAACCCCGGAACUGCCUUUGAUACUGGGUGUCUAGAGUAUGGAAGAGGUGAGUGGAAUUCCGAGUGUAGAGGUGAAAUUCGUAGAUAUUCGGAAGAACACCAGUGGCGAAGGCGGCUCACUGGCCCGGUACUGACGCUGAGGUGCGAAAGCGUGGGGAGCAAACAGG